UUUGCCCCAAGUCCCUCCAUGUUUCUCAUGUCUCUUUCUCUCCCUCUCUCUCACGCAACUACUUCCUAUCAUUCUGAUGAUUUUGUUGAUCCCAUUCCCACCGUUGUACCGCCUGAAAUCCAAAGUUGACACCGCCGAUUCAUGAACUUGGACUAUUUCAUUCUCACCAGAUAAGUUGAUUUCUCUCUCUCUCUGGUUCUUAUUUUCUGCCCUAAUUUAUCACAAAUCGACUCCCUCUCUUAGCAAUCUCUACCUCACACACUUUCACCGCACCACGCCAUCGUUGGCACCUUCUCUCUGAAUACAGCGAAACCCCCUCCGUCACCACAGUCCCCACAUUCGCACGACCCAUCGCUACCUCCGGCCAAUCCCACCAGACCUUCAUUCUCAACAGAAGGAAUUAAUUCCAGAACAACAGAUAACUGAGAGUAGUUGCAGAGAAUUGUGAACCACUUUGAUUUUGAUCUAGUAUCCAGCACCUUUGUUUUGAAGGAAAAUGCUCCAUUGCAGCUCCAUGUAGAGGAGGGAAAGAACCAUCCUAAAAUUCCUAAUCACUAAACUUCAAUUACAAUAGAAAAUAAGUGUGAGCAGCCAUUUACAGCUAUUAUGGUGCAUUUGAUAUUGAUGAUGAAGCUUCUAAAAUUCGUUGUGAGCCCAAAUCAAGUGAUAUGAAAAUGAUAUCAAAAGUGAAAAGAAAGCCACUGAUGUAGCCCCUCUCAAUCACCGCUGUAGCACCUCCAGCUCGACAAUUGCAAAGGGGUAAUAGCGAGGGCUUCAUCUAGGGCUUCGUUGUGCCUGAGCUUGAUUUGAAAAUAAUUGGACAGGGACAUAAUGUUUCAACUAGAAAAUGAGGUGUGCAUUAUCACAUGAAUGAAAACUCAAAGGAGCAUGAUCAUCCAAAAAUGGAUACUCCACGCAAGGCUACUUAAGGAUUCAAGCGAUUAUUUGAAGAUACGUAUAAAUCACGCUUUUGCUCAUGGCAUUUUAUAUGUAUGAUGUCAAGAAAGACGUAUGGACAACUUUGAUAUUUUGGUUUUAAGUGCAACUAGUGUUGUGUUUUGUGAAGGGUUGGCACCCUCUUUGUAAGGGGUUCAAUUUUGGCUUUUGUUAAGAGAGUUUUAAUUUUUGAAUAUUUAAAAGUGAUACAUACCACUCUUGCUAACUAGAUUUUUUAAUGUGGGAGUUAGAUAACCGAUAUGUGAACUAUUGUAUGCCUAAUAUUUUUUUGAGAGUUGCAUAUUAACUAUUUUGUAAAUGUAUUGUAUAUCAACUAUUUUAUUGAAAUGAAUGAAAUAU